rnacentral:rRNA from 1 species
UACGAAGGGGACUAGCGUUGUUCGGAUUUACUGGGCGUAAAGGGCGCGUAGGCGGCCACCGCAAGUCGGUUGUGAAAUCUCUGGGCUUAGCCCAGAAAGGUCAACCGAUACUGCGGGGCUAGAGUGCAGAAGGGGCAACUGGAAUUCUCGGUGUAGCGGUGAAAUGCGUAGAUAUCAGGAGGAACACCGGUGGCGAAGGCGGGUCUCUGGGGCCGAUACUGACGCUGAGGAGCGAAAAGCGUGGGGGAGCGAACAGG